GAUUGGAGACAGAUGUAAUAGCAACAAGGAUCCUAAAAGGGUUUGUGGCAGUUUUCCUAUACACUACACAACUUUGGAAGCUGCAGACACAUUCACGUACGCUGGAUGGUGUCCAAAAGAGAAGGAAGAUGCAUGAUACUAUGAUAAUAAGUCUAAGGGAGGACUUGUUACUGUCUUUCUGUGGACCAGGCAACUCUCUGUCUUGAUGGCCCUUAGCUAUUAAAAACAGCUUGACAUUCAAGCCAAGAAUUAUGACAAAAAUUGCAAUGUUACUAAUAAUGUUGCUAAUACCUUUAACAGUUGAAGUGCUGGAGUUCCCAAGGAGGCCAUAUAUUAAUGUCAUGCAUAGGGGAAACAACCAGCAGAAGACCAGGACCCCAAUGGUCCUAGUUUUAGUCAUGACACUCAUGUACCUAAAAGGAAAGGCCACAGCAAAGUAACGUUCAGACUGAGAGGAUAGGAUAGUCAAAAAAAUAACACCCAUAAAGUUAUACACAACCAUCUCGCUGAUCAUAAACCCUAAUGGAUCUUCAAGGUUCUGAAACACAGCUAUGUAAAACCAGACCGUCCCCAGUGAAAAACCACUUAAGCAGGUAUUGAGAAUGUAGAGGAAUCUAUUCUCCGAUCUCAAGGUCUUUGUCCACAGUAUGGACAUGACGAUUACACCGUUCAAUGAGAG